AUUUGACGUUACCUACAGAAGAAGCACCGGCUAACUCCGUGCCAGCAGCCCGCGGUAAUACGGAGGGUGCGAGCGUUAAUCGGAAUUACUGGGCGUAAAGCGCAUGCAGGCGGCCUGUUAAGUCAGAUGUGAAAGCCCCGGGGCUUAACCUCGGAAUUGCAUUUGAAACUGGCAGGCUAGAGUCUUGUAGAGGGGGUAGAAUUUCAGGUGUAGCGGUGAAAUGCGUAGAGAUCUGAAGGAAUACCAGUGGCGAAGGCGGCCCCCUGGACAAAGACUGACGCUCAGAUGCGAAAGCGUGGGGAGCAAACAGGAUUAGAUACCCUGGUAG
rnacentral:rRNA from 1 species